UACGGAGGGUGCGAGCGUUGUCCGGAAUCACUGGGCGUAAAGGGUGCGCAGGCGGCUCUGUAAGUCAGAUGUGAAAUCCCCGGGCUUAACCUGGGAAUUGCGUUUGAAACUACAGGGCUAGAGUGUAGCAGAGGGGGGUGGAAUUCCAUGUGUAGCAGUGAAAUGCGUAGAGAUAUGGAAGAACAUCGAUGGCGAAGGCAGCCCCCUGGGUUAACACUGACGCUCAGGCACGAAAGCGUGGGGAGCAAACAGG
rnacentral:rRNA from 1 species